GGGCGAAUGCCAGCGUGUUGCAUUGUGAAUGGCCUAAAAGAACAUGUGAAAAGAAAGAAGAUGGGGGAGAAUCCAAGACAAUAGAUUUGCAACACAACUGAAACAAACUGAAAAAUGAAAACAACCAAAUUUGUUC
rnacentral:snoRNA from 1 species